UCUUAGUCGGGGCAAUUGUUACACAGCUACAAAGGAACUAGAGGCAUUUUUGAAGUUUGCUGGAAUUCUCGGGGCGAUAAAGUUGGAGCAAGUGCUUUUGACGGAAGUGUAUUUGCUGGGAUAACUGAACAGAAGUUUUAAAGAAAGACGGAAACAAUUGACAAGGCAAAAGAUUGGGAACCUGAAUGCUAUUCAGGUUUAAAGGAUGGUCAGUGACUACAGUUGGGAAUGAGGUUCUCAGUUCUAACACUAUUUCCUCCAGUAGUUCCACGUUAUUACCUCAUUAUCCUGGUACCGUGUCCACAAAGCAAAAAGGAUUGAGUUCUUCAACUGUGUCUCCUUCUUCCUAUGGUCCUUGAUUUUCUCGUGUGAGAGAAGCUUCUGUGAUAGCUUUACGGCUUCACACAGCUGCUCCAGCACCAACGUCAUCUUGUAAAACGGGAGAUUUGGGCCACCCGCCAACUGUCAUUGUGAAGCCCUUCACAAUCGUUAUUUGUUCUCAGAAGCAGAUUGAAACAGGACCAAUGAACAGGAGUCCAAAAACGGCCUCGAAUCCAGUUUCACUCCAUAUAGUCCAUUAAUUUCUCCAGUAUUGGUGGCACCGAUGUUUGUAAGGAGUCAAACACCGAAGAUAGGCGAGGGAAAGCAGACGAAAAAUGAAGUCGCGAACAGGAUUGGGUCCUUUUUUGUUAUACUCGGUCGACAGGUUGAAAUCGCGGAUUUUCUUCAUUAUUGCCUGGCACCAAUGGAAAUAACAUCCCAAGUGGUAGCAAGAAGGAAACAGUUUUCGGACUGCGACAAAAACUGCCCGUUCAAAAUCUGUCACAAUCCGUUCAACUCUGGGAAGGGGCAUGAUUUCCUGAAUAAGAUUUUUGAACAUAUAUAUAUAGUCAAUAUCUCUAUAGUCAAUAUAUAUAUAGUCAAUAGCUCUUCUUCGAGACAUACAACAGAAAAGAAGCGGUACUUGCUUUAAAUCUUCUUUUUCGUUCUUUAUCAUCCCGUUUAUGGAGAGUAACUAGGAUCCCUGAUGGAUUAUAGGAAGUGUAUCAUGUGGAGGAGGAGCCACAGGACGUUCCGGUGGUGGUGGUUUCCGUUCUGAAGUGUGGGUGCCGCUCCUUCGGGAGCUGUCAGUGGUUAUGUAAGAUAAAGGCUCCCUAGGGAACCUGUGUUGAAAGCGGCAAAACUCGUCUGAUGGUACCAUCAAAGAGAGAAAAAGACAGGCCACCACGAAAUCAUAAUUGAGGGUAAUUUCAAAAAAUAAAACAAGCGGUUAACAAAUUGAAUUUUAAAACAUAUCUAUCUUAUUUUUAUUGACAAAUCGAAUCAAAACAUAUUUAUCGACACUGUACACUGGUUCGGAGUGCUUGGUUAAGGUAUGAAUACACAACCCACGCUCAACGUCCCACAAAACGGUCGAGUCAAACGAAGCGCUAGCCAAAAUCAGAUUCAUGUUUGGGUUUUUUGUUCCAAGGCCGGUAAGACUCCAUUUUAUGGUGUAGAUUUCCUUGUUGUGUGCUUGCGAAUCAUGAACACAAGUGUCUUGUUACAUGUACCACAUAAAAUGUAUUGGCACUGGUUACCUGAAUAGCAUUCAGGUUCCCAAUCUUUUCCCUUGUCAAUUGUUUCCGUCUUUCUUUAAACCUUCUGUUCAGUUAUCCCAGCAAAUACCUUGAAAUGAAAUAAAAUUAAAACAAAUCGAAUGAAAUAGUAAAACCAAACUUACACUUCCGUCAAAAGCACUUGCUCCAACUUUAUCGCCCCGAGAAUUCCAGCAAACUUCAAAAAUGCCUCUAGUUCCUUUGUAGCUGUGUAACAAUUGCCCCGACUAAGAAUAGUUGAAUGAAGAUGUAGUUUGUUUUUGUUUUAAACUUGGAAACUAUUAUAUACCUGAGUAGACCAGCUGUGUACACAUUAGUCAAAGCUACCAGAUGCUAGGUAUUUGCCAUCGGGAGAAAAUGCGACACUGUACACAAUAUCGUGAGAACAGGAAGCCAAAAGAUUACCCUGAGGAUCCCACUUGAUAGCGUUUACUUCAUUCUAGAGAAACAACAAAAAUAUUUCUCUUUUAAUCAUUCACAAAUUCGCAAGAGAAAUUUGUAUAUUGUUACCGUAUGUCCUUAGUACUAUCACCAGAGCCAGAAGCCAAUAAAUCAGUUGUUGGGUUCAGGCGCAGAUGAAAA